rnacentral:lncRNA from 1 species
GGCAUUCAGAGGGGAAGGGAGGCCAUGCUGGAGAGGGACCCACAACUCUGAUGGGCAUAAGCACGCGCUCGGUACACACACACACAAACACACACACACAAACACACACACACAUCCACAUGCACACAGAGUUAAGUGAAAGAAGAGGAACAGAAAGGCAGCUGUUCGAUGAUUUGCCCCUUCUCUCUAGAAUAAGAUCCCACAGAGGAAAGGGACUCAAGGCAAGGAGAAGGAAAAAGGUAGCUUCAUCUGAUGAGUGAACCCAGAAGUGAUUUCUGGAGACAUUUGUGAGUCUUUCCUGAGGCUCAAUUCAAAUUCAUUUAAGAUGCAGAGAGAGG